ensembl:miRNA
CCUGCUGCAGAGGUGCCAGCUGCAAUGGGGGAGGCACUGCCAGGGCUGCCCACUCUGCUUAGCCAGCAGGUGCCAAGAACAGG